AUAUAUAUAUAUAAAGUCGAAGAUCAUCCCUUUUCCCUGUGGGCCAUUAAAGAGAUUAAGACUGUAGGAGAUGUAGUGGAGAAUGACAUCGUGAAGUCUUUUUGAAUAGCUUAAGAAAUACAAUCUUCCUCAACA